GACGUAGGGCGCGAGCGUUGUCCGGAUUUAUUGGGCGUAAAGAGCUCGUAGGCGGCUUGUCGCGUCGUCCGUGAAAACCUGCAGCUCAACUGCAGGCUUGCGGUCGAUACGGGCAGGCUAGAGUUCGGUAGGGGAGACUGGAAUUCCUGGUGUAGCGGUGAAAUGCGCAGAUAUCAGGAGGAACACCGGUGGCGAAGGCGGGUCUCUGGGCCGAUACUGA
rnacentral:rRNA from 1 species